rnacentral:lncRNA from 1 species
UGUAUGCAAGAGAGCUCUUCAGAGCUGUUGGAAGAUAUACCUAAAGGAAUACCAGGGUAAAAUGGAUUGAGGAACACUGCUGCUGACAAAGCUGCUUCAACGUGUGACCCUACAGAAGUAAGAAAUCAGCUGAAUAUCUUAAACUUCAAAGAAGGAAUCUUGAUUUGGGACAGGAGUUGAGCAGAAGACUGCAAAGUAACAGCUGACCUAGAAGUGAAGUAUAUUGUACAAGAAAGCUGCAGACAGAGGAAGGAAGUAGAGGGCAAGAAAGACACCGAGUUUACUGAAUACAACAAUUGUUUUUCUAACCCUGUGCAUGUGUGUGGAUGCUUGGUUUGGAAGGCACACCAGAGGGAAGACAAAUCAAUAAAAGCUGUUCUCACAGGUUUGAAAUUAAACAUUUAUAAAGCACUGGUAUAAGGGAGGUUUUGACUUUAUCUGUUUUACAUGUUUUCACUCACAAAAAUUCAGUUUUGAUGAGACCUUUUUCCAGUUUACAAUAGAAGUUAUUUUUUAGAAUUUCUUUGUGGUUAUUGACAUGACUUUCAAAACUGACCAAUGAUUUUGAUUGAGGAAAGAUGUUUAUGUAAAUAUUUUAAAGAACC